rnacentral:rRNA from 1 species
UACGUAGGGGGCAAGCGUUGUCCGGAAUCAUUGGGCGUAAAGAGCGUGUAGGCGGCUCGAUAAGUCCGCUCUGAAAGCCCGGGGCUCAACUCCGGGAGGCGGGCGGAUACUGUCGAGCUAGAGUCCGGAAGAGGCGAGUGGAAUUCCUGGUGUAGCGGUGAAAUGCGCAGAUAUCAGGAGGAACACCAAUGGCGAAGGCAGCUCGCUGGGACGGUACUGACGCUGAGACGCGAAAGCGUGGGGAGCAAACAGG